UGAGGAAUAUUGGGCAAUGGGCGAAAGCCUGACCCAGCCACGCCGCGUGAGUGAAGAAGGCCUUCGGGUUGUAAAGCUCUGUGGGGAGGGAAGAAAAGGCGUGUUCAUAAUACGUUCACGUUUUGACGGUACCUCCUUAGCAAGCACCGGCUAACUCUGUGCCAGCAGCCGCGGUAAUACAGAGGGUGCGAACGUUGCUCGGAAUUACUGGGCGUAAAGCGCGUGUAGGCGGAUUCGCAAGUCGGGUGUGAAAUCCCCGGGCUCAACCUGGGAACUGCAUUCGAAACUGCGUGUCUAGAGGGCUGGAGAGGGAAGCGGAAUUCCAGGUGUAGAGGUGAAAUUCGUAGAUAUCUGGAGGAACACCAGUGGCGAAGGCGGCUUCCUGGACAGUUACUGACGCUGAGACGCGAAAGCGUGGGGAGCAAACAGGAUUAGAUACCCGGGUAGUCC
rnacentral:rRNA from 1 species